GAAAAGGUCAGGAUAGCUC
rnacentral:tRNA from 1 species